rnacentral:rRNA from 1 species
UACGGAGGGUGCAAGCGUUAUCCGGAUUCACUGGGUUUAAAGGGAGCGUAGGUGGCCUUAUAAGUCAGUGGUGAAAUCUCUCGGCUUAACCGAGAAAUUGCCAUUGAUACUGUAGGGCUUGAGUACAGUUGCUGUGGGCGGAAUAUGACAUGUAGUGGUGAAAUACAUAGAGAUGUCAUAGAACACCGAUUGCGAAGGCAGCUCACAAAACUGUAACUGACACUGAGGCUCGAAAGUGCGGGGAUCAAACAGG